rnacentral:lncRNA from 1 species
AAUGAAGAGUGUUACGUUAGUGCUGUAUCUUGUUGCAACACAAAUUCUGGUUUUGGCUCUACUGCUGCUAGCCCGCUCUAUCGACAGUGCUGAAGAGAACAGCCCGAGGAUAGGAGCGAGCGGAAGCAAAUCACCACCGGGAAAACAUGGCUGAAUGAUGAAGCAGCUAGCAGAUGUAAACAAGACAGAGACCCGUUUCUGUCUAAUAUGAAAAAUUAUUGAAUUGGUAGGUGUUUGGUUCUCUAGCGGAGAACACUUUCUGUAGACUUUACAUUUUCCCUUUUCCUUUUCAGAAAACUGCAUUUGUCUAUAUAUACACAUACAUGAUUACAGAUUUCUUUUGAGAAGCGAUCCAACAAUUAUGUACAUAGCAGUUACUCUAACAAUGGCAGUAUGUUUCGAGCAGAUAAUGGCAGUAUGUUUCGAGCAGAUAGCAGUUAGUUCGACAAAGGACGUCCUGGAUCUUACUUGCUA